GGUGCCUAAUACAUGCAAGUCGAACGCUUCUUUUUCCACUGGAGCUUGCUCCACCGGAAAAAGAGGAGUGGCGAACGGGUGAGUAACACGUGGGUAACCUGCCCAUCAGAAGGGGAUAACACUUGGAAACAGGUGCUAAUACCGUAUAACAAUCGAAACCGCAUGGUUUUGAUUUGAAAGGCGCUUUCGGGUGUCACUGAUGGAUGGACCCGCGGUGCAUUAGCUAGUUGGUGAGGUAACGGCUCACCAAGGCCACGAUGCAUAGCCGACCUGAGAGGGUGAUCGGCCACAUUGGGACUGAGACACGGCCCAAACUCCUACGGGAGGCAGCAGUAGGGAAUCUUCGGCAAUGGACGAAAGUCUGACCGAGCAACGCCGCGUGAGUGAAGAAGGUUUUCGGAUCGUAAAACUCUGUUGUUAGAGAAGAACAAGGAUGAGAGUAACUGUUCAUCCCUUGACGGUAUCUAACCAGAAAGCCACGGCUAACUACGUGCCAGCAGCCGCGGUAAUACGUAGGUGGCAAGCGUUGUCCGGAUUUAUUGGGCGUAAAGCGAGCGCAUGCGGUUUCUUAAGUCUGAUGUGAAAGCCCCCGGCUCAACCGGGGAGGGUCAUUGGAAACUGGGAGACUUGAGUGCAGAAGAGGAGAGUGGAAUUCCAUGUGUAGCGGUGAAAUGCGUAGAUAUAUGGAGGAACACCAGUGGCGAAGGCGGCUCUCUGGUCUGUAACUGACGCUGAGGCUCGAAAGCGUGGGGAGCAAACAGGAUUAGAUACCCUGGUAGUCCACGCCGUAAACGAUGAGUGCUAAGUGUUGGAGGGUUUCCGCCCUUCAGUGCUGCAGCUAACGCAUUAAGCACUCCGCCUGGGGAGUACGACCGCAAGGUUGAAACUCAAAGGAAUUGACGGGGGCCCGCACAAGCGGUGGAGCAUGUGGUUUAAUUCGAAGCAACGCGAAGAACCUUACCAGGUCUUGACAUCCUUUGACCACUCUAGAGAUAGAGCUUCCCCUUCGGGGGCAAAGUGACAGGUGGCGCAUGGUUGUCGUCAGCUCGUGUCGUGAGAUGUUGGGUUAAGUCCCGCAACGAGCGCAACCCUUAUUGUUAGUUGCCAUCAUUCAGUUGGGCACUCUAGCAAGACUGCCGGUGACAAACCGGAGGAAGGUGGGGAUGACGUCAAAUCAUCAUGCCCCUUAUGACCUGGGCUACACACGUGCUACAAUGGGAAGUACAACGAGUCGCGAAGUCGCGAGGCUAAGCUAAUCUCUUAAAGCUUCUCUCAGUUCGGAUUGCAGGCUGCAACUCGCCUGCAUGAAGCCGGAAUCGCUAGUAAUCGCGGAUCAGCACGCCGCGGUGAAUACGUUCCCGGGCCUUGUACACACCGCCCGUCACACCACGAGAGUUUGUAACACCCGAAGUCGGUGAGGUAACCUUUUGGAGCCAGCCGCCUAAGGUGGGAUAGAUGAUUGGGG
rnacentral:rRNA from 1 species